UACGGAGGGGGCCAGCGUUGUUCGGAAUUACUGGGCGUAAAGCGCCCGUAGGCGGACUGUUAAGUCGGGGGUGAAAUCCUGGGGCUCAACCUCAGAAUUGCCUCCGAUACUGGCAGUCUCGAGUGCGGGAGAGGUGAGUGGAAUUCCCAGUGUAGAGGUGAAAUUCGUAGAUAUUGGGAAGAACACCAGUGGCGAAGGCGGCUCACUGGCCCGUAACUGACGCUGAGGUGCGAAAGCGUGGGGAUCAAACAGG
rnacentral:rRNA from 1 species